UGCCUGCCACCACCGCCGGCCAUCACCGCCAACUUCGGCCACCAUCUAUUCCGGUCACCACCAACACCGGUCACCGUCACUGUCGGCCACCAUCAAAUCCGGCCACCACCAACUCCGGCCACCACCAACUUCGGCCACCACCACCACCGCCACCACCACUGUCGGCCAUCACCACCACCGGCCACCACCACCACCGCCGGUCACCACCACCACCACCACCACCACCACCACCACCGCCGACCAUCACCCCGCCGGUCACCACCACCACCGCCGGCCACCACCACCACCGCCGGUCACCACCACCACCACCACCACCACCACCACCACCGCCGACCAUCACCCCGCCGGUCACCACCACCACCACCGGCCACCACCACCACCGGCCACCACCACCACCGCCGGCAACCACCACACCGAUCACCAACACUUCCGACCACCAUCAACUCCAUCCACCACCGCCGGCCACAACCAUCACCACCACUACCAUCUCCAAUCAAAAAGACUAAUUUAGUAAGUUUACUACCCUCUAGUGUUAGUUUCUACAUUUUGUAUAUUAUAGUGUUAGUUUCUUAAAUAAAUUAUCAAAAACAGUUAGUUUUGCAAUUCACCCAUAUUUUUUUCUCGUAAAUGUUUUUUUAUUGAUCGAAAGUCUACGGCACAAGGUAUUCUUACAAGACAAUAUUUUAAGAGCUAACAAAACGAAUAUAUAGUCCACAAAGAUAGACCCAAGAUUAAACCCUCCAAAGAAAGAAAAGAGACAGCAAAGCAAACUAUCUUCAUAUCACAAGACGCGUCAGACGGUAAAGAUGAGAUUACGACACAUGUUGAUUUCACAACCUCCACCGCAAGAGAUCCAACUUCCGAUGAAUUUUAGAUCGUCACCGGAAAACUAAGUUCGAGCAAUCAAAUCUUCUGUUUCUCACCGUAAUGACAAUCGCAGAUCACCAUACUGAUUUGCUCACGACUGAUUCUUAACCAAUUGAAUCUCUGAUUCCUUGACAACAACGACGAAAAGGUAAUUCAAGAUCUACACAACAACUAAAGCUUUUAAUUAGGAACCUAAAGCACAUUCAAACCAUGAACUGUUUUAACCGAGUAACAUCCGCUUAGAGAUUAAGCCAAUAAAGCUUCCAACCAACAACUAAAAACAUAAAAGAAAGCAAUCAUCUUCAUAGAUCGGUGGGAAGAAAUAACCACAAUUAUGUUGAACUCAAUCCAAAGGCACUAGAAAAAACCAUCAUCCACAACUCCGAUUUGUUUCUUUUAAAAUUGAAAUCGAUAAGCUUGAAAAACAAAACGAGCCUUUUAAUCAAAGGAGGUUUAAGGAAUUCUAAUUCCAGAUCUAAGAAUUGAAACACAAGAGGGCCAAUCAAACCAAAUGUAAAGAAAACUAAAGAACGAAAAGAUAAAUUUAAACCGGAAAAAAUCCGAUUAGAAGCUAGACGAGACACAAUAGAAGGACGAUGAAACUCUAGAUAUAAGCCAGUCAACCGCCUUUGUAAAAGCCGACAGAUGCCAGACGCUAGCCGACCACCACCGUAAAGAGAAACGGACGGUGUCAAAACUAAAGCUGGCCAAACAUUGCCAUAAAAACGAAAGUUAUCGGAUAAAAAGCCAAAAAGUCAAAAGCCAAAAGAUUCUAAACGGAUAGUUGGACAACGGAACUACCGUUGCCAGAGAAAAAACUCUAAUGACUUCCUUUCUAAAAAAAUAUAGGAGAGGGAAGUCCACCCGAUUAGUGGAAUUUGAUUAUUGAACAAAACCAGUUUUUCCAUUUUUUCGCAAUUGUAACAAAAAAACAAAGGUAAAAAUAAAAACGAAAAAGUAAAACCCUUCGAGAAGAAGAAGCAGCGCAUAAACCCCCAUCGGCCAGAGAAAAUGAGCAAU
rnacentral:sRNA from 1 species